UUUGUUUAAGAUCAUGAAGGGAAUGGUAAGUAGGACUUCCGGCUUUUAACACCACAUGGCCUUCACUAGACUUCUUGAGUAGGAUCUGAUCCCACGCUGUUCUCAGUUCUGGUCUAGAAGACCCAAUGUCCUGGAAGAUUUCAUUCUGUCAGCAAGCCUGUUCAGGAAGUUAUUUAAAAUCAAGAGGUGCAGAAGAGAGCCUAGAAGAACUGCAGAGGGAGAGUUGGAUUGGGUGCUCUGUUCCUCUUCUGGACCUUCUGCUGCUCAGACCAGCUGGAGUCAGCACCCACCUGGCCACUUCCAGACUGAUCAUCACCAGAUGCUGCCCUGUGCUCUGAGCCAUCCCUGUAGCAACACUGAUUCACAUGAGUAAAGUUUCACUUCCGCAGAGACCUUCUGGCU